CUAUUAUGCAGAUUGAAGAUUUGGGAAUGCAAAAUAAGAAACAUCCAUGAUGUUGGGUUCAUUGACCCACAUAUCGUUAAUGGACAUGUGUUACAAAAUCACCCCGAAGACGUGGAGAAAGACUUGUCCAAGUUUCUUAGAAAGCAUCAACUCAAAAGUCAUAUUCUAUUUCCUUACCAUUUUGGGUUCCACUGGAUUCUGCUAAAUAUUGAACUUCACACCUUCAGAGUUCUAAUCAUGGACUCUAUGGAUUCGGAUCCAAAGCGUUGGGCCGACAUGAGCAAAAUGCUGCAAAAGUAA
rnacentral:rRNA from 1 species